GAGUUUGAUCGUGGCUCAGGAUGAACGCCGGCGGUGUGCCUAAUACAUGCAAGUCGUACGCACUGGCCCAACUGAUUGAUGGUGCUUGCACCUGAUUGAUGAUGGAUCACCAGUGAGUGGCGAACGGGUGAGUAACACGUAGGUAACCUGCCCCGGAGCGGGGGAUAACAUUUGGAAACAGAUGCUAAUACCGCAUAACAACAAAAGCCACAUAGCUUUUGUUUGAAAGAUGGCUUUGGCUAUCACUCUGGGAUGGACCUGCGGUGCAUUAGCCAGUUGGUAAGGUACGGCUUACCAAGGCAUGAUGGCAUAGCCGAGUUGAGAGACUGAUCGGCCACAAUGGAACUGA
rnacentral:rRNA from 1 species